UACGGAGGGGGCAAGCGUUAUUCGGAAUUAUUGGGCGUAAAGGGCGCGUAGGCGGCCUGUUAAGUCAAACGUGAAAUCCCCGGGCUCAACCCGGGAACUGCGUCCGAUACUGGCAGGCUUGAAUCCGGGAGAGGGAUGCGGAAUUCCAGGUGUAGCGGUGAAAUGCGUAGAUAUCUGGAGGAACACCGGUGGCGAAGGCGGCAUCCUGGACCGGCAUUGACGCUGAGGCGCGAAAGCCAGGGGAGCAAACGGG
rnacentral:rRNA from 1 species